rnacentral:rRNA from 1 species
UACGGAGGGGGCUAGCGUUGUUCGGAAUUACUGGGCGUAAAGCGCACGUAGGCGGCUUUGUAAGUUAGGGGUGAAAGCCCGGAGCUCAACUCCGGAAUUGCCUUUAAGACUGCAUCGCUAGAAUUGUGGAGAGGUAAGUGGAAUUCCGAGUGUAGAGGUGAAAUUCGUAGAUAUUCGGAAGAACACCAGUGGCGAAGGCGACUUACUGGACACAUAUUGACGCUGAGGUGCGAAAGCGUGGGGAGCAAACAGG